CAUACACGAGCAGCGUACAUUUACGCGCAGUCUUGUAGGAAAUGACUGCCACUUUGAAGCUGAAUGAGCUUCUUCAAGCCACGAGGAAGGGCCCACUCGUUGCCGCGCGCUAUUGAUAGGUUGGCGUGGCUCGGACAGUUCGAUGGCGAUUUCUGAAUUAGACCCCAACGCUCGCAAUGGCCAUGCACAAUCACGCUGCUCAAAACAGGACAACUCCUCUGUUCUUGCGUCCAGGAGCGUACAGGUGAAAGUCGACUGGACUAAAGACAACGCUGCCACGGCAGAAGAGUAUGAAAAGAAGACACAAGGUUGAAAAGUUUUGCCUGCAGCUCCUAAAUUGUGACACUAAUAAAUUGUCUUCUCCUAUACUA